rfam:Glycine soja cultivar W05 scaffold4274_19, whole genome shotgun sequence.
AAAUGUUAUGAUUGAAUUCUCUAGUCAACACAAGCGGUAGAGCUUUCAAGGCUUCACCUGUCGUGUAUCCUAUAGAAAGAGAGUGCCUUUGGGAACAUUAAUACAGGUGCUGCAUCUGCAUGGCUCUUGCCAUGCAACCUGUUGGGUUAAGUCCCAUUAUAAGCAAAAAUAUGGUACAUAGUUGCUAGCAUUGAGUUUGGAAUCUUGAGCAAACUGCCUUUGAUAAGCCAAAGGAUGGUGGGGAUAACAAAAAGUCAUCAUGUCCUUUAUGUUUUGGAUGCACGUGCUACAGUGGUCAGGACAAAGGACUGUGAGCUCACGAGGGUGACCUUACCCCAGAAACUUGUCCUUAGUUCAGAUUGUAGGUUUCAACUUGCUUGCAUGAAGUUGAAAUCGCUAGUAAUCACCUAUUAGCCAUAAGGCAGUGAAUUCAUUCC